CUUCCCUCAGCCAGUCUCGCUCACGAGAGCCCAGGCAGCACCUCUGAUUCAAGCAGUUCUUGCUCGUACUUCGCUUCAUAUUUCUCUCAGUACACCUGUAGCCGGUGAUCAGUGCCUGCACUCAGUGAUCUGUCAGUG